CCUACGGGUGGCAGCAGUGAGGAAUAUUGGUCAAUGGACGAGAGUCUGAACCAGCCAAGUCGCGUGAAGGAUGACUGCCCUAUGGGUUGUAAACUUCUUUUAUAUGGGAAUAAAAUGUUCCACGUGUGGGAUUUUGUAUGUACCAUAUGAAUAAGGAUCGGCUAACUCCGUGCCAGCAACCGCGGUAAUACGGAGGAUCCGAGCGUUAUCCGGAUUUUUUGGGUUUAAAGGGAGCGUAGGUGGAUUGUUAAGUUAGUUGUGAAAGUUUGCGGCUCAACCGUAAAAUUGCAGUUGAAACUGGCAGUCGUGAGUACAGUAGAGGUGGGCGGAAUGCGUGGUGUAGCGGUGAAAUGCUUAGAUAUCACGCAGAACUCCGAUUGCGAAGGCAGCUCACUGGACUGCAACUGACACUGAGGCUCGAAAGUGUGGGUAUCAAACAGGAUUAGAUACCCGAGUAGUC
rnacentral:rRNA from 1 species